rnacentral:lncRNA from 1 species
GGGGGACAAGAGGGAUGUCUUCAUGUGGAGUAGUAGUAUUUGUCCUGCAAUUCUCAACAUUACAGUCAAUAGAAGCAUUAUCAUUAGGACCAAAUGGAUCAAUAUGGGUUAGUUUAGAACUCUUAGUAAUAUGAGAAUAAGAGGAAACAAAGUAAAAAAGGAUAUACUAAAAACAAAAAAAAAAGCAUUACGAGAAACAUAAAGUUUUCUUGCAUGAGGGUCAUAACAACGAUAACUCUUUUGACCAUCCUCAUAACCAAUAAAAACAGACAUGGCUAAACGAGAAAAUAACUUAUUGCGCACUAUUUGACGGCAAAGAACAAAAUAAGUAGAACCAAAGACUUUCAAAGAAUAGUAAUCAGGUAUAAAAGUAUACAAUUUUUCAAAGGGAGACAAACCUGAUAUGACAGAGGAUGGAGUUCUGUUAAUAGCAUGAACAAUAGAAAGAACUGCUUCUCCCCAAAACUCACUCUAAACCGAAGCAAACAACAAAAAGGAAUGAGCGGUCUCAAUAAUAUGACGGUGAUUCCUUUCAACAACUCCAUUUUGUUGAGGAGUAUCAGUACAAGAUGUCUGAUGGAGGGUGUCAUCAUAAGCAAGUAAUUCGAAGAAUUUAACAGAGAGGUAUAUUCACCACCUAAAUCAAAUUGAAAGAACUUAUAACAUCAUUAUGUCGAGUUUUGAUCAUAACACAAAACAUAUGGUAAGUGUCAAAUUGAAAGAAGCCCAAUGUUUUAAUCAAGAAGCAGAAACAUGUCCAAGGCGAGAAUGCCAUAAAUAAAAACUAGAAAACAACGAAUUCAAGCAAAAACUAGAUAAUAAGUCAGUAAUGGUUGUUGAGGCUGUGUAGUUGGGACUCGUAGGUCAUCCAAAACAUAAAGUCUCCUUUGUCUAUGGCAUUUCCUAAUCAGCAUCCAGAAUGUGGAUCCUGCACACAACAAGAAGUGGAAGAAAAUAUAACUGAAUAAACGAAAUCACAUAGUUGACUAACUGAAGCAAGAAUCAAAGUAAUAUUAGGAAUAUAAUAAACAUCUGAAAGAGACAAGUUAGGUGUGGAGACAUAACCAAUGUCUGUUAAUAGCCUAGAAGUGCCAUCAACAGUCAUAACCGACACAUAUGAGGCAUAAUUCACAGACACAAAAGAUUUAUCAUCAUAUGUCAUAUGAUGAGAUGCUCCAGAAUCAAGAAUCAAUAUGGAAGGAGAUAUACUAGACUUACUAGAGGAGUUCAAACAUUUAGUAGAGGAGGCAUACAUGGCAUGUGAUUGAGUUGCAAUAAGUUUUUGGAGUUGUUAUGCAAUAUCAGAUAUUUGGGAAGCAGUGUCAGAUGAGUAUACAUAAUCCGAACUAGAGCCAAGUGUAGGAGGAGCAGAAGCAACAACAUGGAAUGAUGACCCCCUAAAUUUUUUCUUAUGGGCUCUCCCCAAUUUUGCACAAUGUGCUUUCCAAUGUCAUUUUUCUUUGCAAAAAACACAUUCAUCAUUAUCAAGCCCAACUCUCCCUUGAUAUUUUUCUUUUUGAACAGGAAAAGCAAAAACAGAUGGUGGAGUUGAGAUAAUUUGCUUAUCUGACACAGCAGAGUGAGUCUUAAGUCUGAUUUCUUCUGCCAACAAUUCACUAAAUACCAAUUCAAAAUUAGGAAGAUGGGACGAUGCAAAAUACCUCCACGAAGGCCCUCAAAAUCAUCACGAAGAGCCAUCACAGACCAAACCAUAUGUUGCUCCUCUCUCUGAUCAAUGUACGCUUUGACAACUUUCAACUCAGUUUAUUCCAUAAAAGCCAAUUGAUCCCACAAAUUAGUCAUUGCCAAAUAGAAUUCCUGAAUAAUCAUAUUUUUCUGCUUAAGGGUCUGAAUAUCACUUUCCAUCUGAUACCGUUUUGCAAAGUUAGACUGAACAUACAAAAGUUUCAAGUGAUCCUAAAUCUCUUUAGCAGUAUCAUAUUUUGUUAGUUGUACGCCUACAGACAGCUCAAUAGAAUUAUUAAUCCAAGUAAUAAUUUUUGAAUUACUAACAUUCCAUGUUUUGAAAUCUUUUGCAUGUUUAGCUUCAUCAUUUUUAUCUGUAGGCUUCACAUAAAUUCCAUCAACAUAACCCCACAUAUACUUUCCAAUCAAAAAAUAUUUCAUCACAUAAUUCCAAUAAGAGUAAUUUUGUCCAUUGAGGUGGACACUAAUAGCUUGAAGAGAGUCAUCCUUAACACCAACCAUAGCAAAUAAUAACAAGAAAAUAAAAAACAAACACAAUCCCUAAAACAACCAAAAUUAGGGAUAACCUGUCAAUAGCUGAGACAAUCUAGAACCAAACAAAAUUGUGCCCAAAACAGAAGAGUAGAACCAUGCCAGAAAUAGAAAAGAAACAUUGCACCGAAAACAGAGAGGUAGCAUCGAGUUGGAAAUAGAGGGAGCAAAUCGGUACAGAUCACAAGAUGUGUUGCACAAAAAAACCAAAGCUCUGAUACGAUAUUAACAAUGACAUACAUGGAAAAGAGGAAGGAGAAGAGAGAAAGAGAAGAGACAACUCCUCUAGGGUUUCGUAACAUAUAAUGAACCAAACUUAAGUUAAUAGAGUUACAAUGAGUAUAUAUACAAGAGAAUUGAAAUGUCUAAAAUAUCCUUACUACUAAUAUAUGAUAUCAUUAUCUAACACCAUAUACAUAACACACAUUCCAGUAACAUAGAUACAAAAGUGUAAUAGAAGGUUCAUCGUAACAAAGAAUAAUACCGUCUUAAUAUUUUUGGAGGUACUGCUCGAAUUUAAAAAAUUGGAUCCUAAUAAAAAAUAUAAUUUUAAAAAUUAUUAGUUAUUUCAAAAUAUUAUAUUUUACCGAAUGAAAUACAAUAACUCAAACUACUUUAUUUAAAUUCAUUAAAAUAAAUAAAUUGUAAAUAAAAUCUAAAUACAACUUCAAGUUAAUACUAACCUUUUUGCUAUUUAAAAAGAGUCAUUCUUCUAACACUUUUUGAAGCAAAUUCAUCAACCAAAUUUUUUUUAUUGUAUUAUCUCCAAAAGAUCAUUCUCAAUUUCUAUCAAUACUAAUCCAUUUAGUCUUUUUUGUAACAUGAUAGACCAUAAGUAAGAUUUUAACAAAUUCAAUUUUGAAAAACUUCUUUCUAUAGAAGCAACUAUCACAUAAAUAGUCAUCAAAACUCUAUAGGCAAUAACUGUAUUAGGAAAACAAUCUAAGCUUUUCAAAAAUCUUAAUAUAUCAAUAGGUCCAAUUUUUUAUCUAGGAAAAUUUUCUCUUAGUAACUUUAACUCCACAAAUAAUUCAUUCUCAUCAAUACUAGAAUUCUCAUUAUGUUUCAAUGCCUAUUCAAAAUGACUACAACAAGACUUCAAAGCUGCAUUGUCCAAUCAUUUUAACUUGUGAGAAGUAAACAAGAAACCAAAAUUCCUUUCAUACUCUUCGUAUUGCUCAAAUCUCUUACUAAGAGAGACGACAACUUGAUGAACAAGAUAAAGAAAAUAAUUAAACCUAUAAGAUUUCUCUUCAUAUAGUUCAACUGACGGGGUAUUCAAAUUCUCAUCAAAAUGACAUUUUAUUUGAAGGCAUUAUUAAAACCAAUUAUUCUUUAUCCCUCAAAAAAUGAAAUCAACCCCUUUAUUUUUUCCAUAACAACAUCGAUAAGCAUAUCCUUUGUUUGUAAAAGCUUCCUAACCAAAUAAUUGCGUAUAAUAUUUCAAGCCAAAUAAUUAUAGUCAUUAAAAACACAAAAUCACCAAGCUCAUUUUUUUGUUAAGGAUGUAGCUUCACUUUUUAUUUUAGUAUCAAGAUACUUUUUCAACACUUCAAAAUUUUAGUAUCAAGAUACGUUUUCAACACUUUAAGUAAACCUUUUCAAAACUCUAACAUUUGAGCUCUUAUAGUUUUGACACUAUCUACACGACUCUCCCAACGAGUGAAUGACAAGGAUUUUGGAGUUAAUUAUUUUAUGUUAUCUUCCAAAAUUUGCCAUCUUGUAGUAGAAUUGGCAAAAAAUUGUAUAAAUGUAUUAAAAAACUCCAGAAAAAUAUUUAGUUUUAAUGCAAGAGUUAACCAUAUCACACAAUGCCAAAUUAAGAUUAUGACAACCGCAAGGAGUAUAAACGGCUCACGGAAUUAUGUCUAAAAGUUUCUUUUGUACACCUUGAUAUUUUCCUUUCAUAUUUAACCCAUUAUCAUAACCUUGUCCUCGCACAUCAAAUAGGCCACAAUCAAUAUUUUUCAAUUAGUUUUGUAAUACAUCAAAAAACCCUUGGCCAAUUGUAUCAUUCACAUUCAAAAAUUCUAAUAAAGAUUCCUUAAUAGUAACAAAAUUUGAAGAAACAUCUAUAUACCUUAUUAUCAAAGGCAUAUGCUCUUGGUGACUAACAUCAGAAAUACAAUCAAGUAUCACUAAGAAAUACUUUUCUUAUAUGAUUUUUAUAAUGAUUUUUGUUUUAGUUGCUAAAACAAACAAAAAUAUUAACUCAUUUUGCAUGUUAUUGUCAAGAUAAUGAAUGUGGUUAUUAUCAUUUGUAAUACGUGUAACAUGUUCUUCAACAAUUGGGUCAAAUUUAGCUAAUAUUCCAAUUAAGCCCCAAAAAUUACAAUUGCUAUUUUGGUACAACCUCUUAUUAGAAUCCCGAAAUCCCAAACUAGAUUUAGUAAGAAAUUUCACUAUUGAGAUUUUUCUUUUUAAAAUAUUUUGACAGUGUUCGUUUUAUUUCUCAAUUAUUUUUUUUUUCCUUUUCUUUCUCAAUUACUCUUUGAGUUAUUUUAUUUGACUCUUUUUCAGCAUUUGACACAACAUACUUAGUGUUCAUAUUCAUUUGUGCCUAUACCAUGCUUUCUAAGUGUUUCACCAAUAUGUGCUUGUUCGCUAAAAUUCUCAUUUGUUAAUCGAGGUUUACUAAUCCCUUUUUUUAAAAAAUUUACAACAAAAACAAAAAAACUCUAUCAUGCUCUAUCGAAUAAACAAGUCAAUCUCCAUUGCAAUUUUCUCCAUUUGAUAAAACUCUAGUGUACAAAUCAGCCAUAAAAUGUCUCUUUGAAUUAUCCGUAGGACUCUUUACAAUAAAAUUUUUUUUUAAGACCUUUUGUAACUAAUAAAUAAAUCAUUUUAGAAUCAAGAACAUCUCAAUUUUUUGGAUCAAAUAUAUAAAUAAUUAUUCAAAUGGUUUUGCUUCCUCUACAUUGUCAUUAACAUUAUCCUCUUUAGUAUCAAGUGAAUUAUUUAAAUGAAAAUCGUCACCAACAACAUUAUCAACAUCAACAUAUCAUUUUCAAUGGGCACAUUAUCAAAUAUUUCAACAUCAACAUUAUGAUUAUCAACAUAAAUUAAUGGUUCUUUUGUAAAAAAUUUAUCAAAAACUCUUAUUUGAGAUUGAGUUAACUCUUCAGAUUUUUUCUUUUUCUUAUGCUUAAUCUUAGGGGUAGUAAAAAAUUGGAAUUUCUCAAAAUUGUGUUAGCUAAAGAUUAACUCCCUAGCAUUUGCCAACCAACGAUCUAAUAGAUUACUAUAAAGUGAUCUAUUAGUACCAUUGUGUUCCUACAGUAAAUUAGUACUAAAGAAAAUCAAUUAAACUAAGUAUAGGAAUUACCGACAUAAAGUUGUUAAUGUAUAAAGUUUUUUAACAACUAAUAAGAAUCACAAAAUCAAAUUAGAAACAAAAUCAAAUCAAAUUAGAUUUGGAUUCAAAAAUGCAUACUUGAAUUCAAAAAUCAUAACCAAAUCAAACUAUAAUUAGAUUCAAUAAUGCAUAAUUAAAUUCAAAAAUUAGAAUCAAAUUCUAUUACAAUUGGAUUCAAAAUCAAUUUCAACAACUAACAACAACAACAAAAUUGGAUUAAAAAACUACCAAUUUACAAAAAAAUCACAAAACUCUACCAUCAAAGAUUCAAGAUUCUAACCUUUGUUGAACGAUCGAUCUUCUUUGUUGGAUGGAAGAUUGAAAUGUGAUUUGGAGAAAAAAAAAGUCUGGAGAAAACGCGAUUAGGAGAAGGGAAACACAUUUUUCUACUUCUAUGGGUUAUGCGAUUCAGACGGAAUUUGCGAAUGACAAAUGCGCGACUAGAGAAUUGGAAGGGAAGGUCUCGGUGUCGCUGUAAUAUUAGGGUCUAUAGAAAAGUAUACAAUCACCUCUAUUAUCAGGCUCUAUAGAAAAGUAUUAACCAUUGAUCAAAUAAUACCUACUAGACUCAAGAUUCUGGUAUCCAAUUUGUCAAACACGAUACCAUUUGUUGGAGGACUCUCCCACAAAACUCCCACGAAACAGAACAUUCGAGAUGUUAGCCUUAUACUCUAGGUCCUCCCGUAGGUCUUCCUCCUUCUUUGUAUCUCUAACUUCACUAUGUACUGGAUACAUAUGAACCCUCUUCUCAACCGAUGUUAUCAACCUCGGUCCGCGUGACCGAUCUGUUGGGUUGGUUGCUCUUCAAGUGGAAGCCCCCACCAGUUUAAAAUAAAUAAAUAAAUAAAUAAAAGAGUUUGUGUUGGCUUGUUUGGGUGAAUCCCAUGUGGAUUGAGCAAUGAGUUUAAAAUCCCUAAUAUAAAAGUCGAAUAUGUAGAUUUUGUUACUACAAUGCAUGCGUGACAAUUUUGUGAGCUGCAACCGUAACAGAAGAGAAAAAUUGGUGCGAGUAGUGGAUGUUGGUUCAACAAAUGUUAUUUAUUUCGGUUAAAGUUUUAGUAUGUUAU